rnacentral:rRNA from 1 species
UACUGCUCAGUAACACGUAGCUAACCUACCCUCAAGCCCAUGAUAUCGUCGGGAAACUGACGUUAAUAAUGGAUAAAUGAUUUUUUCUGGAAUGAUUGAUCGUUGAAAGUUCGCGUGAGGAUGGGGCUGCGGCUGAUUAGGUAGUUGGCGGGGUAAAUGCCCACCAAGCCAAAGAUCAGUAAGGGCCUUUAGCGAGGAAGCCCUGAGAGGGAGUCUGAGACACUACUCCCAGCCCUACGGGGUGCAGCAGUCGGGAAAAUUUUGCAAUGCGCGAAAGCGUGACAGAGCAAGCCAGAGUGAUAUUCCUUUUUGGAAUAUCUUUUGUGUGAUAUAGAAAGUCUCACGAAUAAGGACCGGGAGAGACUGGUGCCAGCCGCCGCGGUAAUCCCAGCGGUCCAAGUCGCAGCCACAUUUGUUGGGUCUAAAACAUCCGUAGCUUGUCUUACAAGUUUCUUGUGAAAUCGGGACUCUCAAGGUUCCGGCGGGCAAGAAAUACUGUUUGACUCGAGACCGGGAGGUGCAGAGAGUACUUUGGGGGUAGCGGUAAAAUGUGUUGAUCCUCAAAGGACUAACAGUCGCGAAGGCGCUCUGCAAGAACGGAUCUGACAGUGAGGGAUGAAGGCUAGGGGCGCAAAGUGGAUUAGAUACCCAUGUAGUCCUAGCAGUAAACACUGCACACUGAACAUUGGGGCCUCUUCGGGAGGUUCCAGUGCUGUAGGGAAGCCGGAGAGUGUGCUACCUGGGAAGUAUAGUCGCAAGACCGAAACUUAAAGGAAUUGGCGGGGGAG